rnacentral:rRNA from 1 species
AUUGAACGCUAGCGGGAUGCUUUACACAUGCAAGUCGAACGAGUGGCGGACGGGUGAGUAAUAUAUCGGAACGUGCCCAGAAGCUGGGGAUAACUAUUCGAAAGAGUGGCUAAUACCUCAAAGUAAUGGAGCGGCCGCUAUGGGAUUAGCUAGUUGGUGGGGUAAAGGCUCACCAAGGCAACGAUCCGUAGCUGGUUUGAGAGGACGCCCAGCCACACUGGGAGUGAGACACGGCCCAGACUCCUACGGGAGGCAGCAGUGGGGACUUUUGGACAAUGGGGGAAAUCCUGAUCCAGCCAUACCGCGUGUAUGAGAAGGCCUUCGGGUUGUAAAGUACUUUUGGCAGAGAAGCGGUAUCUGCAGAAUAAGCACCGGCUAACUACGUGCCAGCAGCCGCGGUAAUAC